UCCUUCUUUCUCCCUCUUUUUCCUUCAUUAUUUUUCUUAAAGAGCUCGUAGGCGGUCUGUCGCGUCUGCUGUGAAAACUCAGGGCUUAACCCUGAGCUUGCAGUGGGUACGGGCAGACUAGAGUGCGGUAGGGGAGACUGGAAUUCCUGGUGUAGCGGUGAAAUGCGCAGAUAUCAGGAGGAACACCGAUGGCGAAGGCAGUGGGCUGGGCCGGCACUGACGCUGAGGAGCGAAAGCGUGGGGAGCGAACAGG
rnacentral:rRNA from 1 species